GUUGGGACUCACCUACAGUGAACUCUCAGAUCAUCAAGAGUAUGUUUGAUAUUUGUAAAAAGAAUUAAUUAUAAUGAAACAUUGAACAGUACUGGUAAAAAAAAAAUCACAUUUUAAAAACUCCUUUUAUAGAUGUGAAAGAUGCAUGGGAGGGGAAACGUAUGCGUGUACUUGAAUCGAGGAUUGGGCCCUUAAAAAUAUUGUAUAAAGACAUUUUCUCCACUGCACCAAAGAGACCAGUAACAGAUGAGGUAAUAAACGCAUAUCUGACCCUCCUGGUCAAAGAAUUUAAUAAGGAUGGUCCAGAGAAGGCGUUUCCACUGGACUCUGGGAGGAUGAAGACUAUAUGGCAACACAAAAGACCAACCAAAACUCAGAUCGACCUGGAGGUCUUCAAGUACAUUGUGGGGGUCAAUGAAGGUCAUCACUGGAUGCUUGUGGUAAUAGUUUCUUCAACUUGGUGGUCAUCUUCUAAGCAGCACAUGCAGUCUGCACAGUGCUGCUGGAAACCUACACAGCUGCUAGUGCAGCAUGAUGUUAAUUUUAACUCUAAAAUAUGUCGGUGAUUAAACCAGGAGAGAGGAGAACCCUGUUCAUGGAUCCACUGGGGGAACAUGGAGAAGAUGCAGCACUGCAAGAACGUGACGAGGUAAAUGAGUCUAUCAGCAUAUUUUCAGAUAAACAGUCUGAGCUUUAGAGGAAAGUAUAAAUAAAGGAUUAAUAAAACUACUUGACUGUAAAUACUGGACACCUUCAGGGUACUGUACUGGGAAAGCAAAGUUAUGUUGGUCGUAUUGAUAUUCAGCAAACCCAUCAAAUAAGUGUAUCAUGCAUUUCAUAUCCUAACGUCUUUUAAAUUGUUCAGGAGACACUUUUUCAUAAGAUUUGUUCCUCCCCAUAAAUCAUUCUUGAACCCUUCAUUCAGUUUGCCGAGUGCAUUUUGAACGGUUGUCCAGUGGAAUUUAAUGGAUCUCCUUCAGUGCUGACGCCAUACGACAGGAGAUUGCAGUCUGUCUUCUGGAGAAUACACUCUUAAAAAUAUACGCAUGUUGUGUGUGGCCAUGACAUCACUCACUUACUCAGACAUUCAAUCACUGUGCUGUGCCUAAACCCCCAUGUCUUUCCUUCCUCAUCAGGCCGACACACCUGCAGCAGAUCCAAAAUCUCUACCGCCCAAUUACGAGCCUGCUAUAAGCCAACAAGUUCAGUUAACUGAGACACAGACCCAGCAACACCUUAGUCCCACAUUAUGAUUUGUUAAACACCCCUUUCUUUCAGUAAUCUUUGAUUUUGUGUUAUUUUGGCUGGAGAUGGCCGGCAGUCCUACUUUUCAGUUUAGUUUAUAAUGUGGUUUUGUCAGGCAGGGAGGG
rnacentral:lncRNA from 1 species